GAUGAACGCUGGCGGCGUGCCUAAUACAUGCAAGUCGAGCGAACGGACGAGAAGCUUGCUUCUCUGAUGUUAGCGGCGGACGGGUGAGUAACACGUGGAUAACCUACCUAUAAGACUGGGAUAACUUCGGGAAACCGGAACUAAUACCGGAUGAUAUUUUGAACCGCAUGGUUCAUAAGUGAAAGACGGUCUUGCUGUCACUUAUAGAUGGAUCCGCGCUGCAUUAGCUAGUUGGGAAGGUAACGGCUUACCAAGGCAACGAUGCAUAGCCGACCUGAGAGGGUAAUCAGCCACACUGGAACUGAGACACGGUCCAGAGUCCUACGGGAGGCAGCAGUAGGGAAUCUUCCGCAAUGGGCGAAAGCCUGACGGAGCAACGCCGCGUGAGUGAUGAAGGUCUUCGGAUCGUAAAACUCUGUUAUUAGGGAAGAACAUAUGUGUAAGUAACUGUGCACAUCUUGACGGUACCUAAUCAGAAAGCCACGGCUAACUACGUG
rnacentral:rRNA from 1 species